GCCGGGCACAGUGGCGCGCGCGCCUGUAGUCCCAGCUAGUCCCAGCUACUCGGAAGGCUGAGGCAGGAGGAUCACUUGAGCCCAGUAGUUCUGGGCUGUAGUGCGCUAUGCCGAUCCGGUGUCCGCACUAAAUUCGGCAUCAAUAUGGUGACCUCCCGGGAGCUGGGGACCACCAGGUUGCCUAAGGAGGGGUGAACCAGCCCAGGUCGGAAACGGAGCAGGUCAAAAUGGAAUUAUACAGUAAAUAUUACUCCUCUUUAUAACAGUAUUCCAUGAACAUAUCUUUAUGUGAUUAACUAUACUUCC
rnacentral:SRP_RNA from 1 species